UACGUAGGGGGCAAGCGUUGUCCGGAUUUAUUGGGCGUAAAGAGCGUGUAGGCGGCCAGAUAGGUCCGUUGUGAAAACUCGAGGCUUAACCUCGAGAUGUCAUCGGAAACCAUUUGGCUAGAGUCCGGAAGAGGAGAGUGGAAUUCCUGGUGUAGCGGUGAAAUGCGCAGAUAUCAGGAAGAACACCAAUGGCGAAAGCAGCUCUCUGGGACGGUACUGACGCUGAGACGCGAAAGCGUGGGGAGCGAACAGG
rnacentral:rRNA from 1 species